CUCAGCCUCCUGCAAAAUAUGGCGACAAUCCCGAGGCAUUGAAGCCUUUAGUGUGACACUUUUAGCCACAGAACCAGUUUUGGAGUUUACUCAGAGAUGCCUUUAGUCAUCUGCAGCUACGUGAGACUUAGGCAUUAAGAACACCACACUAAUGAUUCCAGUCUGUCUGCAAUUACUUACUUUUUGCCUUCAGCUAUGUAAGCACGAGUAUUUUGUCUCUUCUAAAUAUUCAUAUUUUGUUUGCAUUUUUAACAAUAAAUGAGUUGAAAUGACACUAUAUGUCUAAAAUGCAAGCACAGUUUCUUGAGAUCCAGUCUGAGGAUUACAUUUAGUUCUACUUUUUCUGUGUAAAUGGUUAGCUAUUUUAAAAUAAUAAUAUUUUUUCUAAAGAGGCAUGCUUAGCAAAGUUGGUGUGAAACCAACUCAAGUGCAUGUAAAAUGCUUACACUUUAGACAAUUUUUUUAUCUUUUACUGAGGGGGGAAGCACAUAGCUUUGCUAACAGUUUAAAGAUUGUUAUUUAUUGUUAUUUGAAAUUUAAUGAGUUGAAGUAAUACAGUCGCUGUGGGAAUAUUUGUGUUAUGACCUAAGAUGGAGGCAUGUUAAGAACCAAAAUGAGUAUAUUCUUCAAGCCGAGACUGAACUUUUGUCUCAUGAAAUCAUUGGAGACUUCAGCUGAAUGUUUAUUUCUCUUCUCUUUUUGGUUAUUGGUUUUGCUUGCAUCUGGUUUUGCCUACUUUCAUCUGCUCCUGCUUGGCUUUUUUCCUUCAAAGUCAGUAUGUUUCAGUAUAUGCAGCUUUAGCCACAGUAAUGUGUAUUUGAGAGGUGUGUAUGGUCAAAAAAUAUGAAUAAUCACAUUCUCUUAAAUAGAUUUGAAAAUUAGUGAGUUCAAGCAAUCCAGACAUUGUAGGAAUAUUAGUGUUAUGACUUCAAACAGAGGAGUGUUUGAAACAAAUUGGUUGUAUUCUUUAAGUCUAGACUGAGCUUUUGCUUCAUGAAAUCAGUAGUGAUUUUAGCUAAACGUUUGUGUGCCAGCAUAACUUUGAGUCUGUUUCCUUUUGUGUCAGAAAAAUGACAGGGAGUGAGAAAUUUAGAAUAAACACACUGUUCUUGCUGAUCUCUUACAUAUAUCGCUGACCUCUUUGGAUCUGGGACCUUGUGUUACAGCGAUUUCACAUAUGAAGACUGUGGAGAGAAAAAAUACCAGUUCAAAAAGACCGCAGAAAAAUCAGUCAUUCUGUUGUGCUUGGCUUGCAGUCCAGUUGCCAUCCUCUAUCAUUUGGUGGUGAUAAGGCUAUUUAGGGUAAUUUUCAAGCCAAACUACUGUUGUGACAUGCCUGUGAUGCUUCCAGAUCCUGUAGCCCAGCAAUUCAAGCCACAAAGAAUUUUCUGGUUAGCUUCCUGACUGUUCAGGAGUCAUCUUAGGUCUCUUCCAAAUCAUGAGAGUGGCUCUUUGUUACAUGACCAGAUGUACCCAGCUCAGAAGAGGUCAGAGCCUAUUCAGAUGUUCUUCCAUAUCUAUCUACUUCCAUGGGCAACACCCACUAAAAAGAGAACCUUCAGCCUAUAGUCCUUUUUAAAGUAUUUGCUAGUAGCAGAGUUCAAACUGCUUGGUCCUUAUGUAGAUUCACAUCUGUCGAUGAAGAUAUCAGGUAUUCCCUUUUAUUUUGUUGUUUCACACCCUCCCUGCUUAACAUGCUAGAUGGUUACUAAUAUGGUAAUUGCCUUUGAAUGGAGGGAGAGCUGCUGGAUACAGAAUGGAACGUUGUCUGUUCUUUUCCUCUGGAACUGUAAGGCAGGCACAGGCUAGGAAGUGGCUUUGGGACUUGCAGAGAGGUCUCUCUAGGUCUGGUGGGUCACAUUAUUGCAGUGGAAUUUGAGAUGCCAGCACAGCUUUGGAUAUGUGUGAUUGUGUACUGGAAGUGGGGUUGGCCAAACAACACGGGCAAGUCUAAAUCCUGUGCUGGGGAAAAAAAUAAUUCACUGUGAGCAAGAGCAGGGGGGGCAAAACAUGAGAUAACACUUUCUACCCUUGUGGACAUUCCACACAAUGACAGAUAUUGCUGCAUCUCUACCCUGUUGCAAAAGGGGAACAUGAUAAGGACUGGAUUUUUCUGUAAAAGGUAAGUGCUGGGCUAUCUUCAAAAUCCUAGCAAAACUCUACAAAUAUAAAUUGAGGCAGAAAGCAGACCAUUUGAGGCUUGUUUCAGAUGGUUGCUUCCAAGUAGGGAUUGCAGUAUCUGUAGUCGCUCCCUGCCAGUAAAAUUGGCAGUGUUGAAAGGGCAGGUGAGAGCCGCAGUGACACUAUUGAUGGCAAAUUACAGAAUCACAUUUAAAAUUAGGUAAACUCAAAUGUUGCUUUGGUCCCUUUUGAUCUUGCAGACAAGUAGAUGGUAGCUUUUGAGACACCCGUGCAUUUCUGAGUGUCCAGGCCACCUUCAGAGUUGAAAUAGAAAUACAUGCUAUAACCGGGGUGUGUUGAAAGCCAUGACUUCAUUUCUUAGAACUUUAACAGCUGUAUAGCUCAAAGACAAAUAACAUCCCUGGCUGGUCUCUGUAAUAACACAGACAUCCAGAAAAUGCCUGGCAUUUUUUGGUUCACUACUUGGGAUCAAAUUCCUCUGAUUUUGUUUCUCUCUGGACUAAGAACAGACUAUUCUUAAUGUUACAGCCCUAAGGAGAAAUUUUGCAUCCCACUGCAGCUUUGUUUCCACACGUGUUAUAUGGGCCUUGGAAAAUUCUACUGCACUAGCAGUAUUUGUAAAGUCUCAUGCCCAGCCCUUUCCAUCAGCAGCAAGUUCCUGUCGUUUCAUUUGGAAUUUCAAAGAAAAAAGCAUCUGUUUGCCCAAAAAACAGUUGGCAGCUUUUCAGCCUAACUGCUUCCACAAAGCCCCGUGGAGUUCUGUAAAGAAGCUAGUUCCCGCCAUACUAAUUCAGGUGCCAGUUCUGAAUGCCCUGAUAACUUUUUUUUUUUCUCCUCUGCAGAAACUCUUCUGUGAUGAGAAUUCUUGAGCUGUCAAAGCACAGGAUUUCAAAGGGCAGAAAUACUGAAAUGGAAAGAAAAGGAGAGUCUGUCCUGGGAGCCGAAAGAAGUGUUUUGUUUAAGCUUAGGAGUCCAAGACAGAUACGGCUCCUCUGCAUAAGAGCAGCAGGAAGGGGCCACUUUCCAGCAAAGCCUGAACUGCUGCUGAAAGCCGCAUUUCCUGCUACACAGAGCUCCCAACCAAAGCAGAAAUCAAAACAAGAGCAAACCCAGUGUGGACUCUGGCAAGGAUCGCCCUCUCUUCAUAUAUAAAAGGGAAGCAUUUAGCCUGACCUCAUAAAAGAGAGAACUUAAAGGACCGUUCUACACUUUGAAAUCUUACCCUCGAUGGCAUGGAAACAAAACGCUGACUUGGGAAUUUCAGCAGCUCAUUUCACGUUCUGCUCAGCCCUCUGUACUUCCUGAGCAUGAAUCGGCCAUUGCAUCAUCCCAGGAAAAUGAAGGUUAUUGGGUCACUGGCUGCCCUUAUAAUCUGCUCAGUAAGGAAUUUCUCAAGGGUAUAGACCAGUGCCCAGAAUAACAUUUAACAAGGUCUGGAAAAUUUGGCCUGCUACAAGCAGAGACUUUUUAAAAGUUUGCAGGAGGCCUACCGUUUGGAUGAGUUAGCAGCACACCCCCCUCUAUAAACAUCACUUAAAACAGCUGCCUCCAGGAACCAUGGAGAGAAAUAGCUGAGGGAAGGUCCAGAUGACUUUGCUAGUAGUUUAGUAUGUUUCUUAAUGUAUGGGCCUGUGCUAAAUGGAGAGAAAUCAAUGUCGAGAUUUUCUUGCUCCUGUUUGCCUCCGGAACAUCAGCCCUCCUCUUACACAGCCACUCACUCCACAUGCAAACUGCACCCUGGAGAGCACGUAUGGCUGAAACUUCAUGCAAAGCAGUACUGCCUCUUCCAUUGCAAGUCCUGUGUAUUUUCUGUAUGUGCUAUAUAUGAGCCAUUUCUUUAGAGGGACAGAACAGUAUCUGCUUUCUCUGAAUUUUGUACCAGACUAUAAAGGACAAUUCAGUGGCUCUGUUCACCAGUUGGAUCGCACUAUUUCACCAGGGAAUAGUUCCUGGGAUUUAAAGAAACUUCCCACCCACUGGGUAAAGGCAGAGACAGACAAGAUUCAACUUACUGAGAGCAGAAAAGUGCUGUCACUGUAGAAACCCAAACAUGUUGUGCUGUGCAAUCUCAGGCUCCCUCUCUACUUGCUCUGGUGAUGAUUUGACUGUGAGCUUGGAGGCUCUUCCCAAGCUGUUCUACAGCGCUCCUCUUACUAACUCCUCUUACUAGUACUCUGCCUACUAGUCCUGACAGUUCCUCUCUGCCUGCAUGAAUGACCUGGUUCUGCUGUCCUUGCAGCUGGUCACUGUGGGAGUGUUUGACUGGAAAGCAUUUUCUGCUCACAUUCUUUUUGCCCACAGGAGAGAGGUGAGUUGAUGAGAAGUUAUUGUUCUUCUCUAGGAAGUGUUUCUAAUUUCUCCCAUUUGUGUCUUGUGAUAUCAACUGAUCCUACGCCUAGAGAAGCUGCUGCUUGUGCCCCAUCACCUGAUCCCACACCACAACUACUGGUUCACCUCUUCUUCAGCAAGCAAUGCUUAACUGUAGCACAGUUUUUCUGCAGGCAAAGUGUGAAACUGCAAAUAUACUAGCGACCACAAUUCCAUACAGCAUCCUUGUACUACACAGAUAGAUGAAAUGUCUACAGACAGAAUGAUCAAAGCUUGAAAAUGUUUGUGGAAUAACUUCUGGUUAACAAGCCCGCUUUUAUAAUGGGUAACAUAUGAGAACAAAAGGUGCAGGAGAACAUCGGCUUUGGAAAAUGGAGCUUAAUACAAAAUUAUGUAUUGCAUAUUGUUUUAAAAAACCCAGUGUAAGUAGUGCUUAGCUGUGAUUAGAAGAAAUCUAAAACAUCUGCAAGAGCUCUUAAAUAAAUGAUGGAAAGUGGGAAGAAUUUAACAAAUGUUGGGAAAUGAAAGAACAAAGAGCUGGGGGAAAUUUAUGCAUCUGCCUGAAUAUGUGAAGCUUUCCCCCAUACUUUUUGUCAUUACUGCUAAGCAAAAAUUAUGCUUUCCCUAUUUCAUUGUGCAAACCUUCCAUUAACUCCAUUAAUCUAUAGCCCUCAAGCCUGAGACCUGAAUUUCUUUUACCAUUGAACUACAUGACUCUUGGCAGUUUUCUCUCUGUUUUCUUACUGAGUGUGAUAUUGAAUUCUUUUUUCUCAGAAAAGGGAGAUAUUUUGGGCUAACUUGGGCAAAGAGUUGAUUUGGCAUCACUUCUAAACUGUUGUUAAAUAAAAAUGAUGACAUAAUUUGAAAAAUGGGAUAAACUUAAAUGCUA